GUUACAUGUAGGAAUUUGUGAGAUGAAGUCAAAACAGCACAGGACAGAAGUUAAAUAGCUAAAGUUAGUUAAUGAAGUUAGCUACGAACUGAUAACGUCAAGCUAACGGUCGCCUAACUCUAGCUAAGCUAAGCUAUAUUUUGAAAGAUAACGUUCGCUGGCUAAUGUAACGGUAACUUAAGACGAUUUUUUUGUGUAGGGGAGAGAGACAAUUUUUUUUGCCAGCGCUGAAUACUCCUGGAAAUAAUAUGAAAGGCUUUACUACACACAACAAUCUGCAUUUGUGGUUUUCAGUGACCAGAAAAUGAAGUUUGAGUGAAGCUCGGCCUGCUGUCCUGUCAGCCCUCGGACCAGAACUGGAAACUCACGCCUGUGAGACGUCUGCCUCCUCCGGCUUUGUGAGAGUAUAUUCACUGAGGCUUGCUGUAGUGCUGAUGUAUAUAGAGUCGCGCUUGAUAAGUGAAGCAUGAACUGGUAGGCAUUAUCAGAGAUGGAGAAAAUGUGGGGUGGGGCCUCAACCCUCUUUUUACCCCUGUAUCCAACCACAACAACCGGAUCAUAUACUGGAAGCCAUUUGUACGGGUUCACGGUGACACAGAACAA